GACGAACGCUGGCGGCGUGCUUAACACAUGCAAGUCGAACGGAAAGGCCCUGCUUUUGUGGGGUGCUCGAGUGGCGAACGGGUGAGUAACACGUGAGUAACCUGCCCUUGACUUUGGGAUAACUUCAGGAAACUGGGGCUAAUACCGGAUAGGAGCUCCUGCCGCAUGGUGGGGGUUGGAAAGUGUCGGCGGUUGGGGAUGGACUCGCGGCUUAUCAGCUUGUUGGUGGGGUAGUGGCUGACCAAGGCUUUGACGGGUAGCCGGCCUGAGAGGGUGACCGGCCACAUUGGGACUGAGAUACGGCCCAGACUCCUACGGGAGGCAGCGGUGGGGAAUAUUGCACAGUGGGAGGAAGCCUGAUGCGGCAACGCCGCGUGCGGGAUGACGGCCUUCGGGUUGUAAACCGCUUUCGCCUGUGACGAAGCGUGGGUGACGGUAAUGGGUAAAGAAGCACCGGCUAACUACGUG
rnacentral:rRNA from 1 species